ACAUUAAAGGAAAUAAGAGCGCACAGUAGAUGCCUAGGCACUAAGAGCCGAUGAAGG
rnacentral:rRNA from 1 species